CCUUGUAGAGAAGUGCCAGACUCUGGUUCAUCCUCUCCUCGAUAACAUGCAGAUGUGUGUACACCUGGAAAAAAGGAUUUUGCAAGUGUUAAACAACAAGAACUGGACCCAGAUGACAGCGUGAACUCGGAAAAGGAAUGCAUUUGCUGAGCUUGCUGUCCUGUGAAGCUGCUGAGCUGACGUCUGAGCAAGUAUUUCUGUUUGACGUGGGCAAGCUUGUCCCAAAAGUCUCCUGCUGGUUGGUGACCCAGUUCGAAAUCACACGCAUCUCCAAAUGCUGGUAACCACGCAGCAAACAUUACACGCAGCAAUGACGUAGUAGCUGACUCCAUUUUGCCUCAUUUGCAUAAUUGUCAAUAUUAUUAAUAAACAAUAA